GAUGAACGCUGGCGGCGUGCCUAACACAUGCAAGUCGAGCGAUCUUCUUCGGAAGAGAGCGGCGGACGGGUGAGUAACGCGUGGGUAACCUGCCCUGUACACACGGAUAACAUACCGAAAGGUAUGCUAAUACGAGAUAAUAUACUUUUAUCGCAUGGUAGAAGUAUCAAAGCUCCGGCGGUACAGGAUGGACCCGCGUCUGAUUAGCUAGUUGGUAAGGUAACGGCUUACCAAGGCGACGAUCAGUAGCCGACCUGAGAGGGUGAUCGGCCACAGUGGAACUGAGACCCGGUCCAAACUCCUACGGGAGGCAGCAGUGGGGAAUAUUGCACAAUGGGCGAAAGCCUGAUGCAGCAACGCCGCGUAAGCGAUGAAGGCCUUCGGGUCGUAAAGCUCUGUCCUCAAGGAAGAUAAUGACGGUACUUGAGGAGGAAGCCCCGGCUAACUACGUGCCAGCCGCCGCAGUAA
rnacentral:rRNA from 1 species